AGGGUUUGAUCAUGGCUCAGAACGAACGCUGGCGGCAGGCCUAACACAUGCAAGUCGGACGAGAAGGUUCCUUCGGGAACUGGAGAGUGGCGCACGGGUGAGUAACGCGUGGGGACCUACCUCUUAGUGGGGGAUAACGGUUGGAAACGACCGCUAAUACCGCAUACGCCCUUCGGGGGAAAGAUUUAUCGCUAAGAGAUGGACCCGCGUUGGAUUAGAUAGUUGGUGAGGUAACGGCUCACCAAGUCAGCGAUCCAUAGCUGGUUUGAGAGGAUGAUCAGCCACACUGGGACUGAGACACGGCCCAGACUCCUACGGGAGGCAGCAGUGGGGAAUAUUGGACAAUGGGGGCAACCCUGAUCCAGCCAUGCCGCGUGAGUGAAGAAGGCCUUCGGGUUGUAAAGCUCUUUCAGAUGCGAAGAUGAUGACGGUAACAUCAGAAGAAGCCCCGGCUAAUUUCGUGCCAGCAGCCGCGGUAAUACGAAAGGGGCUAGCGUUGUUCGGAUUUACUGG
rnacentral:rRNA from 1 species